ensembl:lncRNA
CAAACAUCAUCACUCUGAAACAGCACGUCUCAGGAGAUCUGGUCUGCUCAGUCAGGAACAACGUCAGUAAUGUCUUCAAAGAAGAGAAAAUAUCUAUCUGUGCAGUAAUUUUGCUAUUGAUGGUUCGUGUCCUCUCAGCACUCGUGAUUUUCUUAGUUGUGGGUAUAGCAGUCAUCUGUUUUCAGAAGAAGAAACAAAACAACAUAUCUGCAAGACAAGAAGAGGAAGAAGAUGACGAAGUGGAGCAAAGAGCAGCAGUGAAGGUGUCAGACACAAUAUGCCCAAGUCAAGACUAAAAAGCGAUGUAGGCACACAAAACCGACAGGAGGUGAUUGCUUGUAUGCCAAGGCCCAUAAAGGUAAUUUAAGUGAUUGCUGAGUUUAGGUGGGCUGCAACACUGAAAGUCCAUG